rnacentral:rRNA from 1 species
GGGAUAUUGGUCAAUGGGCGGGAGCCUGAACCAGCCAUGCCGCGUGAGGGAAUGGGGCCCUACGGGUCGUGAACCUCUUUUGACCGGGGACAACGGCGGCGUCGGGAACGCCGCGUGAGGGUACCGGUGGAAUAAGCGCCGGCUAACUCCGUGCCAGCAGCCGCGGUAAUACGGAGGGCGCGAGCGUUAUCCGGAUUCAUUGGGUUUAAAGGGUGCGCAGGCGGCCUGUCAAGUCAGCGGUGAAAGCCCGGGGCCCAACCCCGGAAGUGCCGUUGAUACUGGCGGGCUGGAAUGCGGUCGAGGCGGGCGGAACGUGGCGUGUAGCGGUGAAAUGCGUAGAUAUGCCACAGAACGCCGAUAGCGAAGGCAGCUCGCCAGGCCUGCAUUGACGCUCGGGCACGAAAGCGUGGGGAUAGAACA